rnacentral:lncRNA from 1 species
GUGACAGCCCGAGAAUCCGGGGGUCUGGAUUCUGACGUCACCAUAUAAAACCCAUUUUUAAACACUUUUGAAAACCUGUAUUUUAUUUUUUUUUCUUUUUAAAAGAUAAUGAAGAUCAAAAGAAUUUGAAACCUGAAAACAUUUAAUAAAAUAUUUGAAUGAGAACAUAAAUCAAAUGAUUUCAAAACCUGAAUUUCAAACUUGAAAGCCAUAAUAGGAGAAUUUCAAGAGAACAUUUAAACUUUAAUAAAUGAUUCGAAAGAGAACAUUUAAACCCCCUAAAAGCAACAGGAUCGCAUCCAGGUUACAGUAUUGAAAUUAGAAUCUACCACUAUUAUUACACAACAUCUCUUACCAACUCAGAUCAUCUUCGAUAAGAAGAAUCACUGUCAACUAUUCCAGCUUGCACCAACCUCAUCAACUUUCCUGAACACUCCUCGAUCACUGGAUCCUCAACUCUGUCUCCUCGCCUAGCAUUAGCCUUACUCACAAUCUCAAUCAAUCAUCUCAUCUUUAAGCCUUUCUGAAAUGGUUAGAAAGGAAUAGCAAGAGUGAGCAACAAUGCUCAGCAAGUAGUAAUAAACAAUGAAAAUUCUGAAAUGAUAUAACAGAAGUUCACGAGUUCAAGAGUAAUAAACAAUGAAAAUUCAUGGUAUUGUAUAGAAUGAUUUACAAUACCUUGCAGCAUUUAAACUGAGAAAUUCAAUCUUUCCAAAGAAUUAUUGAAUUGGACUAUCACAUUUUAAUUAAAACCAAGGUUGGGCAGCUGAUCAGUUCCGCACUAACCCCGAGCAGGCCCCGCCAUGCUCUAUCACUGGAUCCAAGGCACUCAUUGGCCUAACAUGACCACGAAUCUGGUCCACAGGUUUAUAUAAAAAAACAAUAAUCCAAUUCUCUAAUUCAAUUCAAGAAGGCAAUGUAAAUUAACAGAACAUCAUCAUAACUAUCAUCAACAACAGGAUAAUUCCAAUUCAAACUUUGAUAAUAAUCUAUUCAUAAAUCAUGAUCCUUCAUUUCAUAAAUUACAGUUCAGGAAAUCCUCAACUAUUCAGUAUCCUCCAUUAUCGGCUAAGCAACUGAAUUUAGCCUGCUAAACCAGCAUGACAAUGGCGGGUUGAAUAAUCAAGAAGAUCCCAAUUCAUUCAAAGCUCUAACUAUCACUGAGCAACACAUGCUUCAAUGACAAUCUGAACUUCGAAUUAAUUAAUAAAACGGAAAUUCUUUAGAAACUUGAAGAAUAGAAAGAAUAGAUCCGAACAUAUGCACUUUUAAAUAUAGAAAGGAAAGGUACGAAUUCUUGCAACAGAUACCAAAGGAAUGGAUCAGAAUAUUUGCAAUAUAUUCAAGAGAAGGGUUUAGGAUACUUGCCUUAAAUCUGACUCCAGUUUCAUAGCUCAACCUCAUCUUUCCACUUUCACAAUCUAUCCAUAUCAUAAUUUCUAGACCAUCUCUAGCUAUACUCUAUUCGCCACAUCGCUUCGCUUACUCGAUUCAUCCCUUAUUCGCUUUGCAAUACCAUUCCGACUUUCUGACGUCUUCGAGCGUACACGUCUCGUCCAAAUCCUUUACGAGAAUAAGAUAAUACUAUAGUCACUAAACAAUAUAUCGCAUAUACAUAUCACGUAUAUCGAUACCCACUUAUAUACCCCUUUAAACUUAUCACAUAUCACUUAACACGUAAUCAUGCUUUGACUCUACCAUAUAGUCAAGUCAUAUUCCACAUAACAUAUUACCAAUCACUUAUCAUAUGAAUCCUAUCGAAAAUCCGACAUCGUCUCGUCUAUUUAUUAGACUAUCCACCUGUUAUCCUAUCUCAAUCAACAAUCAACCAACAAGAUCCAAUUACUAUAAUCCAUAUAUUCUUAUCCAAUAUCAAUCAACUCACGACACUAUGUCAUCCAAAUCUUUUAUCACACGUGUAUACUAUCAUGAAUAAACAUGUAUAUCACGUAAUCAUCAAUUAAUAGCAAUCAAAUAACAUAUAAUCACAUUGUGCACAUUUAACAACAAUUAUUCACAUUCUCGACUCCAUCAUAUUAUUAUGUUAUAUCAAACUAGACUUUAUAAGCUUCUGUCUCUCUUUCGUUUCACUUGAUUCCGACUUACGGAUCAAAAGUUAUGCUCAAAACAAUUUUCUCACUCUCCUAUCGCCACAUAACACAUCAAACAGAUAGCAUACAAUAUAUUUCAUAUAAGGUCUCCCAUCCCAAUUGAUAUUAAAUCAAGUCUUGGGUUUAAAAUGAUUUUUCGGGAAUUUUCUGGAAUUUUUAAACAUUUUUCGGAAUUAAAAUCGAUAAAAGAAUCACUUUUCGGAUAAAUAAUCAAGUCCCAAAUACUUGAAAUUGGACUUGAAAUCAUUCAUAAACAAUUAUCGAGCCUUGAAAAUAAUUUGGAAAAAUAUUUUAAAGCUCGAAACUAUUUUUCGGAAUUUUUAAAUCAAAAAGGAUUAAUUAAAUCCAAUUAAUUAAUCAAUUAAAAUCAAUUAAUAAUUAAUUAAAAUAAUUAAUCAAUUAAUAUUUAAAUUAAUUGACCAAUUAAAAUAAUUAAUUACUAAUUAAAAUUAAUUAAUAAACUAAUUUAGAUUUAUUUUUGAAUAAAGAAAUAAUUAAAAACUAUUUUUGGAAUUUAAAAUAAUUAAAUAAAACAAUUUUAGAAAAUUAAAUCAAAAGGUUUAUUUUGUAAACUUUUGAAAGUUUUGUCCAGGGUUUAAAGUGUAACUUUUCAAAGUUACAGGGGGUAAUUCAUAAGUUUCAAAACCUGAGUACAAAAACUUCAUCAUCUUCAAAACUUCGGUGACCAAACAGCAAUAAGCCGCCGGCCAUCACACUAACUUGCCGGAUUUUCGUUUCCAGGCGUCCUCCACUCACCAUCUACUCCAGAUCAGUAGUACACACACCCAUAAAUCAAUCCCCCAUCUUUAAUUAGGCAGAAGUCGCGCGAAUUCGCCGGAAAAUCCGGCCGAAGUCGGCGACUUCCCGCCGCCGAUGGCGGCGAUUCGAGCCACCUCCGCUCAAACCAAGCACACCAGCAUACUCCCCUUUCUCUCCUC